AUUGAACGCUGGCGGCAGGCUUAACACAUGCAAGUCGAGCGGGGUGAUGGUGCUUGCACUAUCACUUAGCGGCGGACGGGUGAGUAAUGCUUAGGAAUCUGCCUAUUAGUGGGGGACAACAUCUCGAAAGGGAUGCUAAUACCGCAUACGUCCUACGGGAGAAAGCAGGGGAUCACUUGUGACCUUGCGCUAAUAGAUGAGCCUAAGUCGGAUUAGCUAGUUGGCGGGGUAAAGGCCUACCAAGGCGACGAUCUGUAGCGGGUCUGAGAGGAUGAUCCGCCACACUGGAACUGAGACACGGCCCAGACGCCUACGGGAGGCAGCAGUGGGGAAUAUUGGACAAUGGGGGCAACCCUGAUCCAGCAAUGCCGCGUGUGUGAAGAAGGCCUUCGGGUUGUAAAGCACUUUAGUUGGGGAAGAAGGUGUAUUGUUUAAGAGAUGAUACAUUUGACUGUACCCAAAGAAUAAGCACCGGCUAACUCUGUGCCAGCAGCCGCCGUAA
rnacentral:rRNA from 1 species